rnacentral:lncRNA from 1 species
UGUGUGGAGGGGCUUUCCUAGGUUUGGGAUUGUGUUGCAUGGUUCUUAGGAGAGUCCGAAAAUGUAGCACCAACUCCACAUUGGGUACUGUCAAGGUAUUGAGGCACCUCAGCUAUUGGAUACCUAUUGGUUGAUUUCAUGGAGGACACAAGAUGAAUGAAAUAGGGCUACAUUAGGCAUUGGUAAAAAGCAGAUAUUAGCCAAAAAGGAGUUGUUGUUAGUCAUUCUGCAGCUGUGCUUUGACCUUGGGAGAAACAUGGAAACAUUUUGUGUAUGGCCUCAUCAAUGUCCUGUUGAAAACAAUGUUUUUGUUUGGGUAGGCAGGUCACAUUCUGAUUACCAGCAAAGCUGAUUUUUAUUUUGUUACAGUAUAGUUCUUUUAGAAUAAGGUAAUUUCAGUAGAUGUCUUUAUUCCAUUUGUAAAGUGUUCCAUAGCACCUAAUCAGGAACAUUAUUGAUUAAUGAUGAGUAAAUCUAUAAUUUAGUCAAACAGUGGAAACUUGAUUGAAAUCCAGAGUUAAUAUGUUUUUGGGGAAGUGCUAAUUAUAUUUGUUUAUGAGAUAUUUUACCAUCUGUUGGAUCCUAGAGAUGCAACAAGUCAUAAGAACAUGUGUUCUCCACUAGCUCAUAAUCUAGAAGAGAAAAGAGAGAAGUAAACAGUAAUUCCGCCCUAUUGGCAUAAAUGACAUAAUGGCAUGCGCACAAAUUUUGUUUAGACAAGUUGGGAAAACUUCCCCAAUAUUGUAAAAAUUAAAUUGGGACUUGGAGUUUUAUAAAAUUCUGUUAAGGGAAAAGAAAAGGUUGAAUGCAAGGGGAAGGCUGAGGGAUAAACAUAGAGAUAAAUGUUAAAGUAUUAUCCACAUGUUUUAUUUUCAAUAAGUAAUACUUUUCUCCCAAAGCACCCCAGUGGAAAUUAAAAUACAAAUUAAAUCUAUAGGAGAUUUUUGAAAAUUUUGGCACAUUGAUAAGAAACUUUUUAAGAAGAUAUAUUGGUAACAUUGAGAACUGGCAAGGAUGCAAUGAAAUGAGCAAGCUCAAAAAUUACAGAAGGGAGAACAAAUCGCUAUAACAUUCCUGGUGGAUGAUUCAGCAGUUUGCAUUAAGUGUUUCAGAAACAUUUGAAUCCUUUGGCCUGAUGACUCUCCUUCUUGGAAUUUAUAUGAAGAAACUAAUCAACUGUGUAUACAAAGUCUUACACAUGAAGAUUUUUAUUACAAGUAAUAUACAAUAGCUAAGAGACUGGAAACAAUAUAAGUAUUUGACAGGACAUAAAGCAGUAAAUAAAUUAUGGUACAGCCAUGCACUGGGAUGCUUCACAGUCAUUAGAAAAUAUGUCUAUGAAGAACAUUUAAUGACAGUGCAACGUGCUCAUAAUAUCAUAAGGACUGCAGUAGAGUAUACUAACAUGUACUUUAACCUCAAGAGACCUAAGUUCUUGUCAUAUCUUUGAUGUAUAGCCUGGGAAAAAGUUACUUAUGUUAUUUGAGCUUCAGCCUCUUCAUCAGUAAAAUGGGAAAAAUAAUAAUACUUGCUCCAUAAGGUUGCUGUGAAGGCUGAAUGGAAUGAUAUUGAAACAAUUUAGUGCCUGACACAAUGGUAAAGGCUGAAUAAAUGAUAUGAUGGGUGCUGAUAAUAUACUUUCAAAUAGCUUUUUUUUUUUUUUUUCCUCUGUCUCAUGGUAAUCGUUCUUCUCCUGGCUCCUGCUGCUAUUAGCUGUUAUUUGUAUGAUUUCUGUCUGGUGUAACAUGAACUUGUCUGGGUAACAACCCUAGUGUAUCCCUAUAUUCUGUGUGCGGAGCAAAUUGUAAAGGCUUCAGAUGCCCACAGAUACCUUUCAGAGACUUUUCUGAUCUUUGAGUUUUGCUGGAUAUCUACCCUCUGAAAAAUUAAGUAUUAUGUUAUCUAGUAGGCAAUUUUUAUGGCACUGCUAGGUUGGGGUGGAGUUAAAAAAAAAAGCAAAUAACCUAUAUAAUACCUAUGUAAUACUAAGUAUACAGGCAUUAUACAUUUAUACAUAGGCUAACUCAUUUAAUUCUCAUAGAAACUACAUGAGGCAGGACUGUUAUUAUUCUCAUUCAGCAGAUAAGAAUAAGGUGCUAUGAGGUAACUCCACAUAUAAUUAGUGGAUGAACCAGGAUUCAAGUUGUGUGGUCUGGCCCUGUAGUCCAUGUUUCAUUAACACACAAAACUGGCCUCAAGAGAGACUGGACUGUAAAAUCCAUGCAGACAGACAUUAUAUCAGAUAUAUAUAUAUAUAUAUUAUUAAGCCUCCGCUUCCUAUCACUUCCUAUUGGUACAAGGUCACAACUCAAUAAAUCUUGUUCAAAGCAUGACUGAUUGGCCAAACUGAAGAGCGUGAACAUGGCAUGUUACAAAUUCAGUCAGUUGUAUGCAGCACUCCUGAUAGUCAUUCUGCAGCUGCCUUUGACCUCCUGGACUCUUGGGUCAAGUACCUACUGUUCCUUAUUGUAAUUAAUAGCUGUUGUGCUGUAGCAUUUCUUUUUGUGGUAGGAAAGUUAUUUGCUAGUCAUUUGGCCAGUCAUGUCUAAAUCUUGAAACAACCAACCUAAAACAAUGAGAUGGCUUCCAAAUUAUUUUACUUAUUUUCACUGUAUAAAUACUACAGUUUUAUCUACCCUUGCUCCAAAUGUUUGCUAACAAAACAAGUGUAGUUUUUGUCCCACUUCAUGCUUAGAAAAUUCACAGCUUUGUGGUGACAUGUGGCUACAGAUCUCAAAGCUCAGAGCAUGAUUUUGGCUCUUGUUUUCUGUUUGCUUGACUGAAUAGUUUAUUAUAACUAUGAUUUUAAAAUUCCUUAGAAACAGGAAAUAGUCUUUGCCAGGAGUACAACUGCUUUCCAUCUAAAAUGCCAGCAUUUCAGUGUCUUGCAACAUUUUAAUUACUUUGCUUAUGGAACCAAACACAUGCACAAAACACUGAAGGCAAAGGAAAGUCUCCCUCACCAUAAUUACUUUUUUGCAAAGGAUUACUUACAUUUUCAUAAUUAUUCAAGUGUUUUUGUACAGGGAAUUUUACAUUUUAAAUGGAAAAUUAUACCUCCAUAAAAGCCACUGCAAAUUAGCAGCUUUAAUAUAGCCUUCGAAUUCUCAGUACAGUGUGCUGUUGAUGCUGCUGUUGGAUGACACACUGAUUGCUUAGCAAGAUAGCUUUGCUGUAACAACCUGUUAAAUUUGAGUUAUUGCCAGAAGAUUUGUUGGCCUUUAUUGCAACAUUCUGUUUUCAAAGGAAGUCCAAGCUGUAAAAACUAUUUGUCAAUAGUUUUAAGAAGCUCAGAAUUUCCCCAUGUGGGCAGCAAUGAGGGUUUGGGCUCAUAGUCUUUCUCUGUAGAGGAUGUAGCGAUAGGCUGAGAUGUAUAAAAGGAGAAGGAGGAAAAUGCUCAAUAAGAUUUCUGUACCUACAUUAGAGACAAUUGAUAAAUUUAUAUGUACCUCUGGUAUUAGUGUGCCAAAUAGAGUUCUUAUGUUUAAAUUAUAUAUUAAGUACAAAUAAGAUUACUAAUAAUUAUGCAUUUAUAGACUAGAAUAUAAAUACACAUUAAAUCUUAAAAUUAAUGUUAAUGAAUAGAAAUGAGCAGAAAUCAAAAUAAAAAUCAAAGAGUUCUCAGGUGGCCCAGCAGGUUAAGGAUCCAACUUUGUCACUGCUGUAGCUUGGGUUGCUGCACUGGCGUGCGUUCAAUCCCUGGCUCAGAACUUCUGCAUGGUGCAGGCAUGGCCAAAAAAUAAUAAAAUAAAAUAAAAUAAUCUAUUCUAAGCUCACUACCAAGAAAAUGGCAGAGUUCAGCAGUAUGAGCUCUUACUAGGAAGUUAGGUAAGUUCAUGCUCUGAUAAUAUACAAAUGGAACAUGAUUUCUAACUUCAAACUUGUGAAGAGUUACUUAUUGUUUCCAGUUAAUCACUGGUGUUGACUAAACCUUUGUUGGAUAUAAUCAUGAGAAGAAGUAAAUAUCACACUUGUUCCAUUGUCAGUAGAUGACAGAGCAAGUAAAAUAGAAAAUCAGGAAUUUUAGCUUAGGGAUUCUUUUUUUUUUUUUUUUCAAAGAAAAGGAGAACCCCAUAGUGGUCAUUCAUAUGUGAUACAUCCCUGCAAAUUCUUAUGAAAAGUCAUCGAUGAAAACCCUUUAAAUAAUAGCAGAAUAUUCAUUUGAGGGAGUUCCUGACGUGGCUCAGUGGUUAAUGUAUCCAUGAGGACGUGGGUUUGAUCCCUGGCCUUUCUCAGUGGGUUGAGGAUCCGCCGUUGUCAUGAGCUGUAGCGUAGGUCGCAAAUGUGGCCCAGAUCUCACAAUGCUGUGGCUGCGGCAUAGGUCUGCAGUGGAAGCUCUGAUGCGACUCCUAGCCUGGGAAAUUCCACAGGUGGGU